AUCGCCAAAAAAAAAAAAAAAAAAAAAGUAAUUUAGAAAAAUGUAUUAAGAAAUGUGUUUGCCUUGGUCAAACAAGAAUGAUCUGGGCUAAAAAUUAUGUUUUGUUGAAUGAUUGGAGUUCAUUCCUCCUACACCUGACAAAAAUAACAUUUUGAUAUCUCAGGCCCAUGCCAUUAUUUUUCUAUCCAGUUUUAUUUUGUUCUCAUAAAGCUAUAUAGUAUUUUUUUAAUUUUCAUGUGACCAGGAAUUAUCUACUUGCUUUCACUGUAAUUUGCCUGCAUCUAAUUUAUCUUUUUUUUUUUUAAAGGAAGAAGAUUGGUCUUUAUCUGUAUACAAGGGAUUGACAACAGAAGAGCACUAAUUUUUCUGGGCAGAGACGCACACAGAGGUCUCAUGUCAUUUGAUUCUGAAUGCAAAAUAAGAUGCAGUUUUGCUUUUUCUGUUUCAGUUAUCUCAGGGAUCUCCAGAACCAAUUGAGCCCAACUUUUUCACAGCAGAUUACCAUUUAUUGCAUCAUUCAUCAGGUCGAAACAGCCUAUCCCCAAAUAACCCAACAGGUCUACCCUCCAGCUUUGAUUUGGAGCAGGGGAUAACAUAUGAACAGAUGCAGAUUGUGAUUGAAGAAGUCCUAGAGGAAAGUGGUUAUUACAAUUUUACUUCUAACAGGUAUCACUCCUAUCCAUGGGGGACCAAGAAUCACCCAACCAAAAGAUGAAAGUGCUGCAUUUUGAAUGGACUUGGUUUUCCCAGUGAAGAUCAAGUUCUGGACUUCAACCACUACUGGCAAGAUGCCCAAAGAUUGGGUGCUGCUAAAAGAGUGUGGAAGAGAAAAGACCAACAUACCAUGGUGCCUGCAGGACCUCUUUCUGGAGGUCCAGUGCUAAGAGGCUUCAUCCUUAGGACACAUGUAUACAGGAUGACAGUGUGCUUCUGGGAGAAAAUGCUGCAAAAUUCAUCUGUGAGAAGAAAACCCACUCCUUGCAGAACUUUCCUCCAAGUUAAAAAAAAAAUACUUGUCAUAUUUUUCAAAGGAAUCUACUUAGAAUUGCUGAAACUAUGUUUAAACGCAUCUAUGUAUAAAAGAUAGUUUUAGAUAAAGAAAAUUAUAGAACUCAGAACAGUAAUAUAUUGGGUGAUUCACUGUAUCCCUCAAUGUUUUUAAUCUUAAAAGAAAUUCAGAAUAUGUGAUCGAAUUAUUUUGUAGUUUUAUUUGUUUGUUUUAAUGAAAGGAUUGGUUUUCUCUUAACCAGUUGGGUACUAGUGGUCUUGAACAGUAUUUGUAACCUUGCACAGCCUCUGGGAAUAACAGUCAAAUUGUCAUAUUUAAGCUAAGAAUGUAUUGAUGUAUAGUUUGUGUAUAUGUAUAUAUGCAUAGGGGGAGGAGGAAGGUUUUGAUUAGGCUAAUGUUUUGCUGCUAAUCAAACUCAUAGUGUUUUUAGGACACUUUGAAGAGUCAUAGAGUCUAUGAAAGAGAUGCAAUAUUCCAUAUUCCAAGUCCUGCCUAACUGAAAUUACCAACAUUGCUUUUAAAUUUUUUAUUGCUUGAGAAUUUGAAAUGAAAAUAAGUUAUAUAAUAAAAUAUAAAUGUCUUCUUUAUUCAUUGAAACGUCUCUAGAAAAGAGAACCCAGAGCACCAAAACAGUGUCCCAUUCCUGU